CAGAUGUUUGCGGUGGUUAGAGUAGAAAGGGUUCCUAAUAAGGCAUUCGAUGCUGGAUUAUAGUUGUUUAAAAUCCUAAUACAGCUGUUGUCCGUCUAAAAUAAACCUAAAACGGCUGCAGAAUAUGCCCGACACUGAGCAUUAUGAGGCUAUGACCCCGACUGACCGACGCCUAACAUAAGUUUAUCUGGAGCUCCCGUUUUCUAGAAAUGUCCUGCUGGGUUUCCAUUGCAAAAGACAGCUGAGGUCUACAAUGUCAGGAUCUACUGAACCAUCACAACUACUCAUGGCAGUGAAGAAUAUAAAAGAAGAAGAAUCUGAUCAUUUCCUACAAGAGUAUCUGUUUGAAAUUCAGACAGUGGAAGAAAAGCCUGAACUGGAUCAUGACUGUAAGACUGAGAUGCACACAUCACCAACCUUGAGCUGCAAAGAAGAAAAUUCUUCUCUGAUCGAUAUUAAAGAGGAACCAGAUUUAAGAGAAUGUGGUGAUGACGAUUCUUCUACAAAACUAAAGUCAAGAAUGUCUGGAUUUACUGAACCUUCACAACUGCCGACUUCAGUGAAGAAGGAGA
ensembl:lncRNA